rnacentral:rRNA from 1 species
UACAGAGACCUCAAGCGUUAUCCGGAAUCAUUGGGCGUAAAGCGUACCGAUAGGUGGUUUUACAAGUCAGAAGUGAAAUCUUAAGGCUUAACCUUGAGUCUGUCUUUUGAAACUGUAAAACUAGAGGGGCAAAGAGGAAGCUGGAACGAACGGUGUAGUAGUGAAAUGCGUUGAUAUCGUUCGGAACACCAAUAGCGUAGGCAAGCUUCUGGGUGCCACCUGACACUGCUAGGACGAAAGCGUGGGGAGCGAAUGGG